rnacentral:rRNA from 1 species
AGCGAACGCUGGCGGCAGGCCUAACACAUGCAAGUCGAACGAAGUCUUCGGACCUAGUGGCGGACGGGUGAGUAACACGUGGGAACGUGCCGUUAGGUACGGAAUAACUCAGGGAAACUUGUGCUAAUACCGAACGUGCCCUUCGGGGGAAAGAUUUAUCGCUCUUAGAGCGGCCCGCGUCUGAUUAGCUAGUUGGUUAGGUAAAGGCUCACCAAGGCUACGAUCAGUAGCUGGUCUGAGAGGAUGACCAGCCACAUUGGGACUGAGACACGGCCCAAACUCCUACGGGAGGCAGCAGUGGGGAAUCUUGCGCAAUGGGCGAAAGCCUGACGCAGCCAUGCCGCGUGGAUGAUGAAGGUCUUAGGAUUGUAAAAUCCUUUCACCGGUGAAGAUAAUGACUGUAGCCGGAGAAGAAGCCCCGGCUAACUUCGUGCCAGCCGCCGCAGUAAUAC